rnacentral:rRNA from 1 species
CCCGUAUGCGACCGGCGACCAACCCCAUGUGAAACCCCUUCGACGAGUCGAGUUGUUUGGGAAUGCAGCUCAAAAUGGGUGGUAAAUUUCAUCUAAAGCUAAAUACCGGCCAGAGACCGAUAGCGCACAAGUAGAGUGAUCGAAAGAUGAAAAGCACUUUGGAAAGAGAGUCAAACAGUACGUGAAAUUGUUGAAAGGGAAGCGCUUGCAACCAGACCUGCCCGCGGGUGAUCAGCCGUCCUUCUGGGCGGUGCACUCGCCCGCGAUCAGGCCAGCAUCGGUUGGGGCGGCCGGACAAAGGUCCCGGGAAUGUAGCUCCUCCCGGGGAGUCUUAUAGCCCGGGGUGCAAUGCGGCCAGCCUGGACCGAGGACCGCGCUUCGGCUAGGAUGCUGGCGUAAUGGUUGUAAGCGACCCGUCUUGAAACACGGACCAAGGAGUCUAACAUCUAUGCGAGUGUUUGGGUGUCAAACCCACGCGCGGAAUGAAAGUGAACGGAGGUGGGAACCCG